AGCGACUGAAGCAAAGAGAAACGAGAAAGAACAGAGCAUGAAUGAAGGUGGUGCAAACACGAGAAGAAAGAGAAAGAAGCUAUCAGUCAACCGACUUUUGUUCCGCUGCCGGGAUAUAUUAGUCAAGCUAUCGAGGUCGCUCAUGACUCGAUUGAAUUCAAGUAAAUCCAAAAGAAAGCCAAAGGAAAUCUUUCUACUGGAGCACUGACACAUCCUUGAGCUCGUCAGCUUCAAUGGAAGUGAUAUCGCUUUGUCGAAGUGGGCAAACGCGUGGGAUCGAUGCUUAGCUCGCUCGAUACAGUAUAAAUUUCCUGCUUGGUAACUCAAGAUAAAGCACCAAAGAACUUUCCGCUGCCAUCAAUUCAUCCUUCCUCGGCUUCGCUUCUUCUCCAUGGCGGGGCCCGCACGUCCACCGGCGAAGACACCCGGAGCGAAGCCUCCGUUUAGGCGAGGGGGUGUUUUGAAGGGCAUCCUGAGAUCGCUGUUUCUGCCGUGCCUCCGCUGGUGGCGUCGGAAGGCUUGAAGUCCCACCAUGGCAGCCUCCGAUGGUGGUGUUCUUUGUUCUUGUCUGAUUGGGUUCUUCUUGUUAUCGUUUUCUCUUUUAUCUGACGCUGUUUCAUAUCAUGUAGAAUUCAUUUUAAUUGAUCGUUGAUUUCGUAUCAUCACUUGCUA